GAUGAACGCUGGCGGCGUGCCUAAUACAUGCAAGUCGAGCGAACAGACGAGGAGCUUGCUCCUCUGACGUUAGCGGCGGACGGGUGAGUAACACGUGGAUAACCUACCUAUAAGACUGGGAUAACUUCGGGAAACCGGAGCUAAUACCGGAUAAUAUAUUGAACCGCAUGGUUCAAUAGUGAAAGACGGUUUUGCUGUCACUUAUAGAUGGAUCCGCGCCGCAUUAGCUAGUUGGUAAGGUAACGGCUUACCAAGGCAACGAUGCGUAGCCGACCUGAGAGGGUGAUCGGCCACACUGGAACUGAGACACGGUCCAGACGCCUACGAGAGGCAGCAGUAGGGAAUCUUCCGCAAUGGGCGAAAGCUUGACGGAGCAACGCCGCGUGAGUGAUGAAGGUCUUCGGAUCGUAAAACUCUGUUAUUAGGGAAGAACAAAUGUGUAAGUAACUAUGCACGUCUUGACGGUACCUAAUCAGAAAGCCACGGCUAACUACGUG
rnacentral:rRNA from 1 species